rnacentral:lncRNA from 1 species
AACCCUAUAUGUCCAAAGCGGAACGAUACAAUACAAUCACGGCAUGACAACAUUGUGGUGGCACUCCUCAAACCUAAUAAGGCCCUAUUGAUAUUCUUAAAACAACGGUCGCGUGGCUGACACACUCUUUCUUAGCUAGCCAACCACUCCAUGGACACCCUGAAUCAUGUCUGGCCGCUAGCGCGGCAGGAAACCGACAGCAGAUCGAGUCAUCUGGCGGCCAGCAGCUUGUGCUAGGCACACGCAAAGGUGAAGAAAAGGGAGUAGAUAUAAUCAUGUGGAGGAUGAAUGUUCAUGUGGAGGAUAUAAUCCCUGAAACAAGUCUGGAAAUGUCACUGCGAUAUGCAUGCCAGCACGUAAAAAAAUAAAGGUAACAAUCUUUCCUUCCAGGCUCGCGAAAAAAAAGCAACAAUCAUUCAUCUUACUGGUACCACAAAUGAGAAACAGAGAAAUAAAAGCGAUGGGCUAGUUGAUGCAAUCUAGAGGCCAUGCUUGCACCUUAAAUUUUUCUCUAAAAAAAAAAAUGCUUGCGCCUUAAAUCGCUAUGUUUGGUAACAAAAAGUAACAAAUUGAUCUCACCCAUUUUAAAGUCCCAGAUAACCAAUCGUCCAAAUCGAUAUGAGAGCACCAUAUUGUUGGAAUAUGAUUUGCGUGGAGACAGCGGCUAGUGGGCGUCAACGUUCGUGCUAGAAACACAUGAAAAAGCCGCUUUGAACAUCUCGAUGCAAUCUUGUUCCAGGUCAGCCUCGCUUGUCUGCUUGUUUUGGUUCUCUAGCUCUUUAUUCUAAAGCUCCUGUCACCUC